GCGAAACCCCUUCGGGGGGAGUAGAGUGGCGGACGGGUGAGUAAUGUGUGGGAAUCUGCCCUGCAGCGGGGGAUAACCCGGGGAAACUCGGGCUAAUACCGCAUACGACCUACGGGUGAAAGGGGGCUUCGGCUCUCACUGCAGGAUGAGCCCACAUCCGAUUAGCUUGUUGGUGAGGUAACGGCUCACCAAGGCGACGAUCGGUAGCUGGUCUGAGAGGAUGAUCAGCCACACUGGGACUGAGACACGGCCCAGACUCCUACGGGAGGCAGCAGUGGGGAAUAUUGGACAAUGGGCGAAAGCCUGAUCCAGCAAUGCCGCGUGUGUGAAGAAGGCCUGCGGGUUGUAAAGCACUUUCAGCGAGGAAGAAAAGCCUGUGGUUAAUACCCAUGGGUCUUGACGUUACUCGCAGAAGAAGCACCGGCUAACUCCGUGCCAGCAGCC
rnacentral:rRNA from 2 species